AUUGCAUACACUCUUUUAGGUCACUUAGUCCAGUGACUACGUGUUAAUAGGGAAGUCCGGUGAAAAGCCGGCGCGGUCCCGCCACUGUAAGCAGCGAGAGAUGUUCACGCCGAAAGGCAACCACUGUGUACGUUGUGCAUGGGAAGGGGAACAGAUCGAGGAACUGCAAGCCAGGAGACCUGCCUAAGAGAGAGCAAGCUC
rnacentral:ncRNA from 2 species